UAGGGAAUCUUCCACAAUGGGCGCAAGCCUGAUGGAGCAACGCCGCGUGUGUGAUGAAGGCUUUCGGGUCGUAAAGCACUGUUGUAUGGGAAGAAAUGCUAGAAUAGGGAAUGAUUCUAGUUCGGCGGUACCAUACCAGAAAGGGACGGCUAAAUACGUGCCAG
rnacentral:rRNA from 1 species